CAUAUUGGAGCUUUGAGCGUUUCAGUGUUAAUGAAGAGAAUGGGGUUU
rnacentral:tRNA from 1 species